GUGGGGAAUAUUGGACAAUGGGCGCAAGCCUGAUCCAGCAAUGCCGCGUGGGUGAAGAAGGUCUUCGGAUCGUAAAGCCCUUUCGACAGGGACGAUGAUGACGGUACCUGUAGAAGAAGCCCCGGCUAACUUCGUGCCAGCAGCCGCGGUAAUACGAAGGGGGCUAGCGUUACUCGGAAUUACUGGGCGUAAAGGGCGCGUAGGCGGCUCUGUUAGUCAGGCGUGAAAUUCCUGGGCUUAACCUGGUGACUGCGCUUGAUACUGCAGGGCUUGAGGCCGAGAGAGGGUGGUGGAAUUCCCAGUGUAGAGGUGAAAUUCGUAGAUAUUGGGAAGAACACCGGUGGCGAAGGCGACCACCUGGCUCGGUUCUGACGCUGAGGCGCGACAGCGUGGGGAGCAAACAGGAUUAGAAACCCUUGUAGUCC
rnacentral:rRNA from 1 species